rnacentral:lncRNA from 8 species
CUGUCUACUGUCGGUCUACUGUCGGUCUACUGUCUUUCUACUGUCGGUCUACUGUCGGUCUACUGUCUUUCUACUGACUGUCUACUGUCGGUCUACUGUCGGUCUACUGUCUUUCUACUGUCGGUCUACUGUCGGUCUACUGUCUGUCUACUGUCGGUCUACUGUCGGUCUACUGUCUUUCUACUGUCUGUCUACUGUCGGUCUACUGACUGUCUACUGUCUGUCUACUGUCGGUCUACUGUCGGUCUACUGUCUUUCUACUGUCUGUCUACUGUCGGUCUACUGACUGUCUACUGUCUGUCUACUGUCGGUCUACUGUCUUUCUACUGUCGGUCUACUGUCUGUCUACUGUCUGUCUACUGUCUGUCUACUGUCGGUCUACUGUCGGUCUACUGUCUGUCUACUGUCGGUUUACUGUCUGUCUACUGUCUGUCUACUGUCGGUCUACUGUCUGUCUACUGUCGGUCUACUGUCGGUCUACUGUCUUUCUACUGUCUGUCUACUGUCUGUCUACUGUCUUUCUACUGUCGGUUUACUGUCUGUCUACUGUCGGUCUACUGUCUUUCUACUGUCGGUCUACUGUCUGUCUACUGUCUGUCUACUGUCUUUCUACUGUCGGUUUACUGUCUGUCUACUGUCUGUCUACUGUCGGUCUACUGUCUGUCUACUGUCUGUCUACUGUCGGUCUACUGUCGGUCUACUGUCUGUCUACUGUCGGUCUACUGUCGGUCUACUGUCGGUCUACUGUCUGUCUACUGUCGGUCUACUGUCGGUCUACUGUCUGUCUACUGUCGGUCUACUGUCUGUCUACUGUCUGUCUACUGUCGGUCUACUGUCUGUCUACUGUCUGUCUACUGUCGGUCUACUGUCGGUCUACUGUCGGUCUACUGUCUGUCUACUGUCGGUCUACUGUCGGUCUACUGUCUUUCUACUGUCGGUCUACUGUCGGUCUACUGUCUGUCUACUGUCUGUCUACUGUCGGUCUACUGUCUGUCUACUGUCUUUCUACUGUCGGUUUACUGUCGGUCUACUGUCUUUCUACUGUCGGUCUACUGUCUGUCUACUGUCUGUCUACUGUCGGUCUACUGUCGGUCUACUGUCUUUCUACUGUCAGUUUACUGUCUAUCUACUGUCGGUCUACUGUCUGUCUACUGUCGGUCUACUGUCGGUUUACUGUCUGUCUACUGUCGGUUUACUGUCUGUCUACUGUCUGUCUACUGUCAGUCUACUGUCUUUCUACUGUUGGUCUACUGUCGGUCUACUGUCUUUCUACUGUCGGUCUACUGUCUGUCUACUGUCUUUCUACUGUCGGUCUACUGUCUGUCUACUGUCUGUCUACUGUCUUUCUACUGUCGGUUUACUUUCUGUCUACUGUCGGUCUACUGUCGGUCUACUGUCGGUCUACUGUCUAUCUACUUGGGCAUGUGCCCAUAUGGGCACAUGCCAGCCCUCCCAUCCGAUCCCACACCUGUCUCCUCUCUCUCUCUGCAGUAUCACACCUCAAUCAACCUAGCUAACCAGAGGCUUUGUUCACUUCACACUAGACACUGUGGACGUGAAUACACGUAA